rnacentral:lncRNA from 1 species
AACUAUCCAACAAUUCUAUACUUGCAUAGUCAACAAUGCACAAACUCCUUCAAAUUACACAGUAAUAGACGUUCAACAAUUUUGAGAAACGUUCUAAAAAAUAAAUAGAAUACUUAUUGAUUGUCAGAAAAACAAAAUACAAGACUUUAUAUAGUCACAAAAUCAUCCACAUUUUAAUCAAGUCAAAACGGAAUUGCCCAAAACGUAGUACGAGAUAUAAGGCUAAACUAAUUCAUUACCGUCAAACUUGCGGUAUCCUCUCCCCUCCAUGCAUAAAAGUUUUUCUGCAUCAAUAAACAUACUUUAACUAUCAACACCAGGACAAAAAUGAACCAACAUAAAAAUACAAUAACAUGUAAGUUUAUGGAAAUCACCUUUUCUUUGAAUACUAAUCCACUGAUUAAUAUAUAAUUAAAAGUGUAUUUAUUUACUUCAAGAAGGUAUGUUCAAGAAAAAUAAAAGAUGCAUAAUGUUUUACCGUAAUCGAAAAUACAAUAUCUUGUAGAAUUAUUAGAUCUUCACCCUAGUCCACUGCAAAAGAGAAUGAAACACAAGCCAUACUGUUAAUAAACAUAAAUAUCAGCUAUAUCAACAACAUAACAAUACAUCAAAUCAAUUUAUAUGUUCCCAAAAUAUAAACCAAAUUGACUGCACUGCUCAACAUUAAUUACGAUACAAGUGUUAGCAUAUUUUUAGUCGCCAGAAAAAAAUGUAGUUCUUGGGUCGGAUGCAAAAUAUGUUGGUGCCGUAAAAACCCACAAAUUCACAAGUGAUACUUCAAUUAAUUAGUAACAUAAUUAGAGCCCAAAAGCCUACGCGACAUAGCAUUGGUUUACUGGUGCUCCUUGAGAAACUUAUCAAAUUCAUAGUCACAAAACUUCAACUUAUUAAGCAGACAAAGCGAAAAUUAUGCGUUGAAUCUAGGAAGCUAAGUGCUUACCCAACUAGUGAAUAUAUGCUCAUAGGGAAGACGUUAAGACAUGGAAAUAAUUGAAGCGGAAGAACCUAGUGACUCCAUUUGCAUCACCUACAAAAAACACAUUCACUUAUAAUUUGUACAAGGUAUUACCCACCUAGGUAAAAUUCAAAGCUCUAAACACUCAAGCUAUAAGCUGCUUUGUGAAACAAGUCAAUACAAGAAAACAAUGAAACCUUCAAUCAAAACAAGGGAAUAAGAAUAAACAGAAUACAUACAAUGUAAAUGAAAUUAAGAACAUAAAGAAAUAAAAUUAUAAACACAGCAUAAGAAACUAUAGUAUUCACCUUAACAAUAGAAACAAAAGUUAGAAGGGCUGGAACAUGUAAACCAAAUUUCGGGGUUAAGUAACUUUAAAAGUAUUACCCUAAACCUGCACUAAAAAUCGAACCAGCAAAACAAAACACAUUCAUAAAUAAAUUGGAGAAAAACAAAAAUAUCAAAAGGCCCCUUGUCCUCGGCCACAUGAAGCACUUUUAAAUGCCAUAGAAACAAGUAAAGUUUGGUACUCUGCGAUUAAAGGAUACAAAGAAAUAAGAUUAUAUAUAACUAAGAACCAGAAAUAAAUUUCAAAACGCGAAAUUGUAUAACUUUUCAAUUUAAUUUUGAGAACAAAUCUCAAUUUAGGGCAUUUGAGGAAAAAUCCUAACAAUCAAUUUAAGAAGGGGAUAGAGAAAAUAGAGAAAAAAGACAGCGAAAAAAAAAGAGUUGGAGCGAGAGCAACAGAAAACUUACUUUAACUGAUACGAC